CCCUUAGAUGUCCGGGGCCGCACGCGCGCUACACUGAAGGAAUCAGCGUGGCUUUCUCCCUGACCCGAAAGGGUUGGGAAACCCGUUGAAUCUCCUUCGUGAUAGGGAUUGGGGCUUGAAAUUGUUCCCCAUGAACGAGGAAUUCCCAGUAAGCGCGAGUCAUAAGCUCGCGUUGAUUACGUCCCUGCCCUUUGUACACACCGCCCGUCGCUCCUACCGAUUGAGUGGUCCGGUGAGGCUUUGGGACUCGAGCGGAAAAAGCGUUUCGCUUGUUCUGCUUGGGAAACUCAGUCGAACCUUAUCAUUUAGAGGAAGGAGAAGUCGUAACA
rnacentral:rRNA from 1 species